AAAAAACGUAACAAGGUCUCCGUUGGUGAACCAGCGGAGGGAUCAUUACUGAGUUUACGCUCUACAACCCUUUGUGAACAUACCUAUAACUGUUGCUUCGGCGGGUAGGGUCUCCGCGACCCUCCCGGCCUCCCGCCUCCGGGCGGGUCGGCGCCCGCCGGAGGAUAACCAAACUCUGAUUUAACGACGUUUCUUCUGAGUGGUACAAGCAAAUAAUCAAAACUUUUAACAACGGAUCUCUUGGUUCUGGCAUCGAUGAAGAACGCAGCGAAAUGCGAUAAGUAAUGUGAAUUGCAGAAUUCAGUGAAUCAUCGAAUCUUUGAACGCACAUUGCGCCCGCCAGCAUUCUGGCGGGCAUGCCUGUUCGAGCGUCAUUUCAACCCUCAAGCUCUGCUUGGUGUUGGGGCCCUACAGCUGAUGUAGGCCCUCAAAGGUAGUGGCGGACCCUCCCGGAGCCUCCUUUGCGUAGUAACUUUACGUCUCGCACUGGGAUCCGGAGGGACUCUUGCCGUAAAACCCCCCAAUUUUCCAAAGGUUGACCUCGGAUCAGGUAGGAAUACCCGCUGAACUUAAGCAUAUCAAAAAAGCGGGGGGAA
rnacentral:rRNA from 1 species